rnacentral:piRNA from 1 species
CCCAUGGAGGGAAAGGCUGCUUG